AUUGAACGCUGGCGGCAUGCUUUACACAUGCAAGUCGAACGGCAGCGCGGGCUUCGGCCUGGCGGCGAGUGGCGAACGGGUGAGUAAUGCAUCGGAACGUGCCCAGUAGUGGGGGAUAGCCCGGCGAAAGCCGGAUUAAUACCGCAUACGACCUGAGGGUGAAAGCGGGGGACCGAAAGGCCUCGCGCUAUUGGAGCGGCCGAUGUCGGAUUAGCUAGUUGGUGGGGUAAAGGCUUACCAAGGCGACGAUCCGUAGCUGGUCUGAGAGGACGACCAGCCACACUGGGACUGAGACACGGCCCAGACUCCUACGGGAGGCAGCAGUGGGGAAUUUUGGACAAUGGGGGCAACCCUGAUCCAGCCAUGCCGCGUGCGGGAAGAAGGCCUUCGGGUUGUAAACCGCUUUUGUUCGGGAAGAAAUCCUAUGGGCUAAUACCCCGGGGGGAUGACGGUACCGGAUGAAUAAGCACCGGCUAACUACGUG
rnacentral:rRNA from 1 species